rnacentral:rRNA from 1 species
CCUACGGGGUGCUGCAGUGAGGAAUAUUGGUCAAUGGACGAGAGUCUGAACCAGCCAAGUAGCGUGAAGGAUGACUGCCCUAUGGGUUGUAAACUUCUUUUAUAUGGGAAUAAAACGUUCCACGUGUGGGAUUUUGUAUGUACCAUAUGAAUAAGGAUCGACUAACUCCGUGCCAGCAGCCGCGGUAAUACCGAGGAUCCGAGCGUUAUCCGGAUUUAUUGGGUUUAAAGGGAGCGUAGGUGGAUUGUUAAGUCAGUUGUGAAAGUUUGCGGCUCAACCGUAAAAUUGCAGUUGAAACUGGCAGUCUUGAGUACAGUAGAGGUGGGCGGAAUUCGUGGUGUAGCGGUGAAAUGCUUAGAUAUCACGAAGAACUCCGAUUGCGAAGGCAGUUCACUGGACUGCAACUGACACUGAGGCUCGAAAGUGUGGGUAUCAAACAGGAUUAGAUACCCGGGUAGUC